AGGCAAUUUAACCCUUUCGCAACGCUGAGUCAGCACUAUCGAUGGCUCAACGCUGAGUCAGCACCACUCAACACUGUAGUCCAGAGGCUAAUGGGAUCUCUCAGAUCUACUAUUGUGCUGGACUUCUCUUAAAUUGUGAGGGACAAUCUUGCCGGAGUGGUUCCCAGUGUCUCCUAAGCAGAUCAUGUGUACAUGUUUACACACAGUGCAAUGGAUAGUGGCAUCUAGACAGAUCCUAUGUGACUGUUUCCCUUUCUCCAACUUUCUGAACCGCUCGAAUAUCUUGUCUCUGGCUAGUUUAAGGAGGGUUGUAACCAGGUAAUCAAUCCGUCUAUUUUGCUUGUGCUGAAGGUAAACAACUUUCAGAGUUCGAUGAAAAGUCUCUAAGUGCAUGUUGGUGUUCACUGUGGUGUGACACCUGUAUGCAUAAGCCCAUUGAUCUAAGCGAGUUGUAUAGUGCAUCUGAAAGUAAGAGAAGAACUUCUUUUGUUUUUGACUAACUUCUGUAAUGAAGUGUUGGAGGCAUAAACGAAAUUUUGAUUUAUCUAGCUCUGUAAGGAGUAAACGGAGCUGAUGGUAAAUUUCUAUUUGAUCACUCCUAUUGGGUACAUACUCUUGGAGUGCAUGACGCCAAGCUCUGUCUAUAUGCCAUGUACAGAGUAGCUUUUUGGUUUGGUUGUCUCCAAAUACAGCUCUCCAUGCAGUAAAGAACUGUUCUGCGUCGUCGGACAUAAACCAUUGAGGAGAGAUGUCCCCUGUUUUCUCUUUAACAGCCUUGAAAAAUUCCACAAGAAUCAAAGAGUCUUGCCGGUUUGAAAUCAUCCAUGCAACAGGUACUCCUUCAUUGUACUCGUCCAGGACGAGUAAGGUCUUGCUUCGUGACUAAGUGCUCUCUGUGUAGCUUACCAGGUACUGAGUCAUAGAUGUCGUCAAGAAUGCGCUCUAUUGGGGUACCCUGGUAUAGUUUACCAGCCAUCUCCAUUCGCUUGGAAGUAGAAAUUCAUCAAAAGUAUGAAAAUUGGCUUCGUUCACUUCCAUGUUCAUAUUGUGGCUCAAUUGUAAAUGAGCUAUAAGAUCAGCGAUUGUCUUCAAUCUACACGAAGAACAUGUCUGCUAGUGGCCGUUUCUUGAGUGUGGCCAAUGAGUUGCUCGACAAUACUGGAGCCAAAGACAAUUGCCGGUACACAUCGUCAAGGUAUCUCAGAAGCUCUACUGUGCACGUCUUGCCUGUAUGUAUGGAUUCGUUGCUACGGCAGGACAUUCAUAGUUAUAAUUAAUUAUACGGACUAUAUACACAAGACUUAAUAAUGUCCUUAUUUAUUGUGUUACCUGAAUUACACAGCGUGCACUCUUCUUCGUUAUGAUUCUCUGCAAUAUGCCUCAUCCUAUUCAUAAAAUG